CUCGUACCAACUUGGUAGACAUCUUCCGCUAAAGCUCUCAAAGACGUGUUAUAACACAUCUGUAUAAUUUGCUAGCUGAAAAAUCAAGAACAGAAAUUCUCUUUCUUUUUUACGGUGAAAGAUGCUGAAGAUGAAACCACAUUCCUCGUGCCACUUAAUAGCAAUGAAAGAACGUCUAAUCGUUCUAUUCGGUAGACGUCUCUGAUCAUCUCGACUACUAUUUUGCGAGGCUUGGAAUUGUAUGAAUUUCUUCUCUGAUGGAUGCUAAAGGGUUAAUAGUUGAUGAUUGUUCAACGAAGAAAACGUUCUUUCACGCGAGGUCAGAGAAGAAAAGGGGGCAGUAAAGAUCAAGUGGAUAAUUUCUCUUCAGUGAUCAUCAUCGAUUGUUCCCUACAGCGAAAUUCGAUAUUUAAUAAAUCCGAUCGUAUUCAAGCUUGGAAAUGUUGAACACGCUCGUAUUUAGUUUCACCUCUGUUUCGCAUAAAUUGUCUCGUGUCCACGCGCGGUACGCGCGAUAAAUCCACGAGUGCCGGCUGACACGCGUCUUUCCCUGUGUCGUAAAGCAAUUAAAGUGACGAGGAUGAUGCAGAGACAUGUGAUACGUCUGCGAGCGAUGGUUUUACAAACUUGAAAAUGUCGAAAAAGUAAUGGGGCAAUAAAAAGAAGAGAAAAAGAAAAAAAGAUAAGAAAGAGAAAAUCAUUGCAUAAUACGUUAAAUCGAAUUUCAUUCUCAUUGUUCUUAAUUCCAGGAGCCCCAUUAAAUUCGAAGCAGAUGCAUAUAAAAGAAAUAUACCCAUUUCAUAAAUUACAUGAUAAUAUAAACCGAAAUUACUGAUCCAACCUUAUGUAAUCGUGAAUUUGAUGGGCCAAAAUGUAAGUCUGAAAGAAGGUAAAUCUAAAGAGGAAUUCUUGAAUUCUUUUGCCAUAAUCAACCUUCUUUUAUGAACAUUC